rnacentral:rRNA from 1 species
GACGAACGCUGGCGGCGUGCCUAAUACAUGCAAGUUGAGCGAUGAAGCUUGGUGCUUGCACCAAUUUGAAGAGCAGCGAACGGGUGAGUAACGCGUGGGGAAUCUGCCUUUGAGCGGGGGACAACAUUUGGAAACGAAUGCUAAUACCGCAUAACAACUUUAAACAUAAGUUUUAAGUUUGAAAGAUGCAAUUGCAUCACUCAAAGAUGAUCCCGCGUUGUAUUAGCUAGUUGGUGAGGUAAAGGCUCACCAAGGCGAUGAUACAUAGCCGACCUGAGAGGGUGAUCGGCCACAUUGGGACUGGGACACGGCCCAAACUCCUACGGGAGGCAGCAGUGGGGAAUCUUCGGAAAUGGGCGAAAGGCUAACCGAGCCACGCCGCGUGUGUGAAGAAGGUUUUCGGAUAGUAAAACUCGUUUGGUAGGGAAGAACGGGGGUAAGAUUGAAAAGCGCUUCAUGGAAGGUAACAACCCCAGAAGGAGCCGCUUAAUUCCUG